rnacentral:lncRNA from 1 species
AUAGUGAAUUCCACUGCGUUUGCAUAAGGGUGGCUGGGCCAGCCGUCCUUACAGAGUUUAUUUAGCCGCUCCUGCUGUGCCUGACUCUAGUAGUGACAGUUACUAAAAGCACAGUCCCAAGAGGCAAGCGCGAUUGAAAGAGUAGAGACGCAGAAAAUUAGGAAGUACUCGAGCCACUGUCUCUUGUAUUUUUCAACAGCUGGCUGGUUCUACCGCAUUUGAGCCCACUUUUAUGUGUACUAUAGAAGAGAAUAGAAAACGCGACCGAUCGAGAUGCUUAGGCCGGCCCGAAAAAGUCUUCCUCUUUGCCCCGGAUCACUUUGCAUCAGCAUAUGCCAGAACUAGCUAGGUGGAACAACACAUACACAUGCAUUCCAUAAGAUUCUCCCGAUGCAUGCACUGCAAUGAUGCAAAGGCUAGCCAACGUAAC